rnacentral:rRNA from 1 species
GGAAUAUUGGACAAUGGGCGAAAGCCUGAUCCAGCAACGCCGCGUGAGGGAUGACGGCCUUCGGGUUGUAAACCUCUUUCAGCAGGGACGAAGCGAAAGUGACGGUACCUGCAGAAGAAGCACCGGCCAACUACGUGCCAGCAGCCGCGGUAAUACGUAGGGUGCGAGCGUUGUCCGGAAUUAUUGGGCGUAAAGGGCUCGUAGGCGGUUUGUCGCGUCGGGAGUGAAAACUCAGGGCUUAACCCUGAGCCUGCUUCCGAUACGGGCAGACUAGAGGUAUGCAGGGGAGAAUGGAAUUCCUGGUGUAGCGGUGAAGUGCGCAGAUAUCAGGAGGAACACCGGUGGCGAAGGCGGUUCUCUGGGCAUUACCUGACGCUGAGGAGCGAAAGUGUGGGGAGCGAACAGGAUUAGAUACCCCGG